rnacentral:lncRNA from 1 species
AUUGUGAAAAAUAGGUUGAGAAACAAGAUAGAAAAUGAAUUUCAAACUAAUUAUGUGAUUACUUACACCGAGAGAAGAAUUGCUAAAAAAUUUAAUACAAAUUCGGUUGUAGAUGAAUUUUAUGAUAUAGGGCAAAGUCGUGUACAAUUUAGAUAAACAAUGUGAUGUAUUUUUUAUUGAGUAUAUUUAAAUAUUAUUAUAAUUUUUAUUUACUUAAUAUUUAUUAUUUAGUUAUUCCGGCCUCCCGUUUUAUAGAUUUAUGGAUCCGUCCCUGCCCGUGCCCAUACCAUAUGGUACCUAAGUAUCCAUAUCAUACCCGUUACCCGCAUUUUUACGAAAAACUUAUCGAUCAAUUAUAAAAUAUCACAUAAUUUUAAGAGAAUUAAAAAAAAUUAAGAGAUUUUAAUGUC